CGAGGCUUUUAAAGGUACGCCUGGAUUUAAAGAAAUCGAAGUGCUGGGAUUUAAAGCAGGAAGUAUCAUAUGUGAUUAUAAAGCUGUAUUUGAUUUACUUGAAACCAAUGAAAACACAACAAAAGAAAUUAAUACAACUGUUCUAGCGAAGAUUAAUAAUAUUACUACCCUACCAGCACCUGUUGAUACGAUCUACACAAAUCAACAAAUUUACUCUUUUAUCAAAUCAGAUGCUGUACAGAGCCUAAAGAAUCCAUGCUACAAUGCCUGUCCUGAUGGUAGUCACUGUACCAGAACUUCAGGUAAUGUAACGUGUCAUGAUAACUGUGAG